GGGCUAGGAUGAAAAAUUUUGUCCUGCAUUUUUUUUUAGUUGUAAUCUCUGUCCUGCCUUUUUAUUUUUCACUCUAUUCGGUCCUGCCUUUUUUUUAUUAGUUUAUCCUGACUUUUUUAACCUAAAUUGUCAUCCUGCCUUUUUUUUUUUUGCAAAGUGUCUCAUCCUGCCUUUUUUUUACUCAAAACUCCUGUCCUGCCUAUUUUUUUCAAAUUUCAUCCUAGCCCCCC
rnacentral:lncRNA from 1 species